GACGAACGCUGGCGGCGUGCUUAACACAUGCAAGUCGAACGGAAAGGCCCUGCUUUUGUGGGGUGCUCGAGUGGCGAACGGGUGAGUAACACGUGAGUAACCUGCCCUUGACUUUGGGAUAACUUCAGGAAACUGGGGCUAAUACCGGAUAGGAGCUCCUGCUGCAUGGUGGGGGUUGGAAAGUUUCGGCGGUUGGGGAUGGACUCGCGGCUUAUCAGCUUGUUGGUGGGGUAGUGGCUUACCGAGGCUUUGACGGGUAGCCGGCCUGAGAGGGUGACCGGCCACAUUGGGACUGAGAUACGGCCCAGACUCCUACGGGAGGCAGCAGGGGGGAAUAUUGCACAAUGGGGGGAAGCCUGAUGCAGCAACGCCGGGUGCGGGAUGACGGCCUUCGGGUUGUAAACCGCUUUCGCCUGUGACGAAGCGUGAGUGACGGUAAUGGGUAAAGAAGCACCGGCUAACUACGUG
rnacentral:rRNA from 1 species